rnacentral:rRNA from 1 species
GUUGGUGCCUAUGGCAGUGAGGUUCCACCCGUUCCCAUCCCGAACACGGUAGUUAAGCUCACUCGCGCUGACAAUACUUGGAUGGUGACGUCCCGGGAAGAUAAGUCGGUGCCAACA